UACGAAGGGGGCUAGCGUUGUUCGGAAUCACUGGGCGUAAAGGGCGCGUAGGCGGCUUUGUAAGUCGGGGGUGAAAGCCUGUGGCUCAACCACAGAAUUGCCUUCGAUACUGCAUGGCUUGAGACCGGAAGAGGUAAGUGGAACUGCGAGUGUAGAGGUGAAAUUCGUAGAUAUUCGCAAGAACACCAGUGGCGAAGGCGGCUUACUGGUCCGGUUCUGACGCUGAGGCGGCGAAAAGCG
rnacentral:rRNA from 1 species